rnacentral:lncRNA from 1 species
GGUUUCUCCAGUGGAGAAGCUUCUUGAGGGGGCUCCCGCCGUCCACUGCUGCUGCUUGGUUUAACUUCCAGCAGAAUUCCUUCCUAGAUCUGCUGCAGGGCCUGCUGGGAUGCCUUUGCUGAAUAAAUGCGGUUUUGCUGACCCUCCCAUCAGACAAGGAUGGGCCCUAACUGAGCCCCACCCUUGGGCUGCUGGCCCCUGUGAGAUACUGGGGUGCAGGGAUGGCACCUGCCUGGUGGGAGAAGCCGCCUGGCCUGUGAGACCUAGGCCUGGCUAGAACCUGACUGCUAAUGGCUUCCAAGGACUGGAGACUUCCAGAAAGUUCCCCAGCAGACUUUCCAAAGCUGCUGGGGUCCUGGCCAGGCUCUGGCUUCACUUUUGUCCUCUUUCUCUGGCAAGAGAGGCAGCCAUUUAGUCUCCACUAGAACGCAUGCUGAUUGUGGGCUGAGCUGAAAAGGGGACUGGUUCUGUGUGCCCAGACACUAAGGCAGAGGCCUGGCUCUCUUCAGGCUGAUGACAGAGCACUCUCUGGUCCCCUGCCCAGGGUCUGCCCCCAAGCCCUCCCCGCUGCACUGCCUGGAGAGCGCCCUGAGGGGGAUCUUGCCUGUAAGGCCCUUGCGCUUCGCCUGCGUGGCAGGCCCCAGCCCCAGCCCCAGCCCCGGCUCCAGCUCGAGCUUCAGCGGCUCUGAAGGAGAAGACCCGAGGCCAGAGCCUGAGCUCUGGAAGCCGCUCCCCCAGGAGAGGGACCGCCUUCCCAGCUGUAAGCCUCCUGUCCCUCUGUCCCUAUGUCCUGGUGGGACCCCUGCUGGCAGCAGUGGCAGCAGCCCUGGUGAAGACCCCAGGAGAACAGAGCCCAGGUACUGCAGCGGCCUCGGUGCAGGUGAGCCUGGGGUCUCCUGAGGGGGCGCCCAUGCGUCCCCCAGAGGACCAGGAGUCCA